AUACUGCCUGCCUCAAGGAUUGUCAGGAGCACUCAACCAUAAUCUCCUUAAUGUCUGCACUGCCUGGCUGGGAGCUGCAGCGGGAGCCUGGCCACCAAGUGCCCCUGAGGUGCCCAUGCCGGAGAGAAGUUGGCUUCCUGGAGCCCCACUCUGUGCUACUGUGAAGGGCGGUUCCAUCCGCCUAGGUUUUGUUAGUUCUGUGAGCCAUACAGGAUUAGCGUGCCCUGCAGUGCUGCAGAGACAUCGGGCGUGCUCCCCUCCUGUGUCCUCAGCUUCUCCCCUGGGGGGGUGCUCACCAGCCCAGGGCCCCACCCCAACCCUAGAGGUCCCUGGGAUUCCCUGAGUUCUCACCAGCCUUGGAGGCCCCGAGUCACCCCACGCAGUGCACGCACAUCUGUGACCUUUCCGGGGCCUGUACUUGUCAAUCCCCAGACAUCCCUGGCUGCUUCCUACAUGCCCAGGCUCUGCGCUUGCUGGCCCAGGAACUGCCCUCCGUGCCUCUUCUGACUCUGUCACAACGGGGGUUUCUGCAUCUGUGCUGUCUUCCCUUCUACUGUGGCUGAGGACCGCAGGUGCCACCCGAGCCCGAGCUCCUUGAGCAUCCCUUGUGCCUAGAACAUGCCAGGCACGCAGCACAGAUGGGUGUCAUUGGUCUGGGACAUUGCCACGGAAGUCUCCAGCCCUCAUGCACCAGAAAGAGAAGAGUGACAAGGAUCAUACUGAGGAGGUCAGGAACUCUAGCUGAGAAUUG
rnacentral:lncRNA from 10 species